ensembl:lncRNA
CACAGUGGGUCAUAAAUAAGACACCAAACAGAAACUUAAUUCUUCGGAGACCAUCUGUGGCGUAGCUUGGCAAAACUUUGUGUCGGCACGAUAGCACUGUCUCUCUGUGCUUAGGGAGAGGCCUGUCCCGUACAUCCCGUAUCCCCGCAAGACGCCUACUACAACAGUUUCCGUGGAAAGAUUCCAGCUUCGGUGCAUCCUACACAUAUGCAGCCCAAGACGAAUCCUCUUCAAUCAGUGCAGCCCAAGGAAAGUUCAAUCAAAAAGAUUAGACACCAAUGUCUAGCUGAGCAUUGGAAGGACAGGGGGCCAGAGAGAGUUGGUUGACACUGAAGCAUCACUUCUUCCAAGCUCUGGAUUGGUGCAUCCCUAAGAAUAAAG